GGCCUUGUGGCAGCGUCCCGCCGCUUCGUCAGCUUCAACCGGGCGCUUCUCCAGGCCUUAGGCUCAUAUUUACUUCUCAUCGUUCCAGUGGGCAGUAUCUUAACGAAACGAUCAUUGCGUACAAACUUUAUAGAGGCACAGGCGACGGGAUCACCACGCCAAUCAAGAUGUUAUCCAAUCAGAGUUUGAGACAUGGUACAUGUUUGCUGUCGAUCACUUUUCUGUUACUGAUGCAACUUCGCCGCAAUAAAAGGUAACACAACAAAACACAAUAAACAAUACAAUUGCAUGACCUUAUUCUGGGGAUUUUUACAUUCUGAUGAAAUACUGCUCAUAUUCAUAGCAACAGAUAGUAAAUAGUGCAGCUUGUAUAAUCUGUAAGUGCAAUAUUAUCUAAAAUACUGAGAUCCAGUUUCGGCUUUUAGGAAAAUCUUAAACAUGGAAAACGAGGCAGAGAAUUUUUAAGGAGUUCCAGACUCAAGAAUUGGAAUGGUCUGUCUGGGAUAUCAGAGGGACCAGAAUUGGGAGACUGUUGUUAUUAUUAGUGUACUUGUACCGAAGUAAUGAAAAAAAACUUGUGCAAACACACAUAUUCGUUUACAUCGGCGCAGUGAGGUAGCACAAGUUAAAAUGAUAACAGGUGUACCAAGAGGUACCUGUAUUACGGUACAGAGAAAGUGCAGUGCAGGUUGCAAAGACCUAGAUUACUGGUCACCAACCUGUCGAUCAUGAUCGACUGGUCGAUCUUUGAGAUCUUACGGUAGAUCCCCAAAAAAAUGAAAAAUAAAUACACAGAUGCUGUUGAGAAAUUGUUUCCGGGUUGCGGGGUUUUAGUUCCAUUCUUUCUGCCCAUGUGCAGCUCCCCUGCCAUGCACUUCAGUGGUCCCCAACCACCUGGCCGUGAGGAAACAAUAUGAGUCAGCUCUACCUUCCCUCAUUCCCUGUCACACCCACUGUUGAACUUGCACGCGCGUGAGGUCAUCAGUCGCCUAAAUGCAGUGAUACCCUUGGGCCAGGGAUCAGUGGUUGGUCUCAGGUAACUGGCCGCCUCACGUGACUGGCAGGAAGUGUUGAUGCCACCGGCCUGGAGCGCAGACGGAUGAGCACCCGCCUCUGAACCUGCUUAACACACCGAAUGUUCGUGGGGAAACCCAGUGCUAAAAUAUUCACAGACGACCUAAUUCAGGCUCAGGGUUUCGUAAGUAGCAGAGCAGCUACUUCUCUGCGAUCUACUGAAAGUCAUCCCUCCAGCCAAACUUUUGUUGGCCGAUAGAUCCUACCUACCUACAAGAGGGGUGCGCGGGAGGGCGUUCUGUCGCACUCCUUGCCCGGUCGUUCUCUCUGGACUGCGACCGGCACGGGGACCUCCGGCCCUUACCUUGUCCUCUCACCCUAUCCAUGACCAGCUGCACGUGGCCAAGACGUCUGGCGGCGGGCGGGAGGCGGUCUAAUGAGGCAAUGAAGCCCUCAAAACUACUUCGGUACCUUGAGUCCAAGCACCCCACACUUAAGGACAAACCCAGUGAGUUUUUUGAGUGGAAAAACCGUGAGCAAGUGGGACAGAAGCAAGUGCUGAUAGCUGCAUAAACUAAAUUGGAGAAUAGACUGGACAUAAGGAACCUCCAAGUAUCGCUGUUCUCCGGUUGUGUUUAAACCCACCGCUGUUGGCCAGUCUGCAAGAAUAUUGUCAACAUUAUGUAAAGGGGAUUUCUUCUUUUUCUUUGUUACUGUGUACAUAAUCAAAAUGGCUUCUUUGUUUUGUUAAAAGUAGGAAUGCUUCUUUGUUGCGAGAGAGUGCUGGAAGCUUGUUUGGGUUAAAAUUUACUGAUAAUGAGAAUUGUAUUCCUUUGUAAACCAAUUGGGAUUAAUGUUGUUCUUUCUUCUGAGUCUGUAAGCUAUUGUUGGCGGGCUUUUGGGGAGAUCGGCGCGAGGGGGUGAGAGAGAGAGGACGCGAUGCUGUAAACUGGGCGAGGAACGGACCCCAAGCGGGGGUCCAAGGCCAGGAGGUACCCCGAGGAGAGGAGAUGAAGCUAGAUGUGCUUGGUUGACCACUUCGGAUGGUCCUAAGCUGUGAGUCGAGGAGUUCGGAGGGGAUCGAAUGGUGGCCAGAAGACUUCAGUAAUUGAGCUCCAACAGUUGUACACGAAGUGGUUUGGACUUUGAUAAGUUUGGCACCUUUUCUUUAUUUUUUUUCCUUCAUAUAUACUGUAUCGUUAUUAAUCACUUAGUUAUAGUAACCUUUAUAAAUUGUACUCAUUUAAUCGCA